UACGAAGGGGGCUAGCGUUGUUCGGAAUUACUGGGCGUAAAGGGCGCGUAGGCGGUGUGUCAAGUCAGGCGUGAAAGCCCCGGGCUCAACCUGGGAACAGCGCUUGAGACUGGCACGCUCGAGUUCGGGAGAGGAUGGUGGAAUUCCCAGUGUAGAGGUGAAAUUCGUAGAUAUUGGGAAGAACACCAGUGGCGAAGGCGGCUAACUGGUCCAGAUCUGACGCUGAGGUGCGAAAGCGUGGGGAGCAAACAGG
rnacentral:rRNA from 1 species